AUCUUCCGCAAUGGACGAAAGUCUGACGGAGCAACGCCGCGUGAGUGAUGAAGGUUUUCGGAUCGUAAAGCUCUGUUGCUAGGGAAGAACAAGUACCGUUCGAAUAGGGCGGUACCUUGACGGUACCUAACCAGACAGCCACGGCUAACUACGUGCCAGCAGCCGCGGUAAUACGUAGGUGGCAAGCGUUGUCCGGAAUUAUUGGGCGUAAAGGGGUCGCAGGCGGUUUCUGAAGUCUGAUGUGAAAGCCCCCGGCGCAACCGGGGAAGGUCAUUGGAAACUGGGGAACUUGAGUGCAGAAGAGGAGAGUGGAAUUCCACGUGUAGCGGUGAAAUGCGUAGAGAUGUGGAGGAACACCAGUGGCGAAGGCGACUCUCUGGUCUGUAACUGACGCUGAGGAGCGAAAGCGUGGGGGGCGAACAG
rnacentral:rRNA from 1 species